rnacentral:misc_RNA from 1 species
GAUGAAGAACGCAGCGAAAUGCGAUAAGUAGUGUGAAUUGCAGAAUUCAGUGAAUCAUCGAAUCUUUGAACGCACAUUGCGCCCCUUGGUAUCCCGAGGGGCAUGCCUGUUCGAGCGUCAUUUCACCACUCAAGCCUGGCUUGGUGUUGGGCGACGUUCCCUUUGGGGACGCGCCUCGAAACGCUCGGCGGCGUGGCACCGGCUUUAAGCGUAGCAGAAUCUUUCGCUUUGGAAGUCGGGGCCCCGUCUGCCGGAAGACCUACUCGCAAGGUUGACCUCGGAUCAGGCAGGGAUACCCGCUGAACUUAAGCAUAUCAAUAAGCGGAGGA